AAAAAGUCUUUUGAAAGAAGACCUAUUUUUUCACUCUUCUAUUUGCUACAAACAAGUAUUUGAAGAGUUAAAUCAGAAAAGUCUUUUGGCCACGCUAGCUCUAAAAUGCAAUUGAUGUUAAUAACUCGGAUUGUCUUUCGCCUAUCAUUUUUAUGCUAAUAUUAUACAAUAUAUUGGUUGCUCUUUGAAUCCUUAUGUGACAUAAAGUGAUUACUACUUCUUUGUUAUUGUUUAUCUAAUAAUCAUAAGUAUUUAUUUAAUCUUAUAAGUUCUUUUUAAUUUUUUUUUUGUUAUUGUUUGGUUAUCUUUUGAGCGGAGUUUUUAGAGAUUAAAUAAGCUAUUUUGAUUCUAUUAGUAGAAGUUUAAAUUUUUAGGUUUUUGAGAAUAAAAGUUGAAAAGCUUUUUAAAAAUACUGAAAUGUCUAAAAUAUCAUUUAUUUUUUGACAAUCUUAUUUCAUCUAUUUCAUAACAUAGCUUAAAAAAUGCAUAUUAAAAUAAUUUUAUAUUUUUAAUAAAAGCUCUCAUUAACAAUCAAACAAUUAAUUUUUUUUUUAUAAAAACUUUACUAACAAAAACACUAAUUAAAAAAAAUUUAUUUGAAAAGGUACAUGAAAUAGAGCCUUAGUAGAUUAUUAUACUUUCCUUUCAUAUUUACUAGAACUUAAUUAUUUUUCCUUUUGGAUUCACUAGACUCUCCCCCAUUGAAAUGAUGCAAAAAGUUUUAAUACUUCAUUUGAAGGCGGCAUGAUUAUUAGUUUUGUAGUGUAAAACAGAAAAUUUUACACUAAAUAAGAUUAUUACUUGAUGUUUAAUCAUGAUAUGGAGCAAAAUUUUAUACUGUUGCAAGUAGAGCUAACCCAAGUUGACUUAGUUUAAUUACAAACCUACCGAUACCUGCCAGUUUCAAAAUUUAAAUAACAAUAAAACGAUCUAAAAUGUUGGCGUCCAAUAUAAUUUAUACACGAAAAGCUAUUCACUGACUGCCACAUCAACGUGGUAUAUAUAUUCAUUUUUAAGUUUUGCGAUAAGGCUAAUUUGUCAUGAUCACUAUCUUAAUAAACUUAGCUUAGUGUACACAGUUCCAAAACGAAAACAAAGAUAUAAUAAAUGCACUACUCUUUAAUUUAUUUAUAGUUAUCGUUUUCAUAUAUGAAGCCCGACUCCCGAGUAUGCGGUAUGAUGUGAUACCACCGUAUGUGUAUAUAUAUUUAUAUUAUUAUUGCUAGUAUGGAUGAUAUCAUUGUUUGUUAUCUAUUACCAACACAACGACAAUUUGCGUAUGGCCUAUGAUUGACAUUUACUUGAGACUUAAAAAUUAUGAGUUAUAAUUUAUACAAUAAUGAGGAGUAUGUAAAAAUCGAAUGAAAAUGAUGUGAGAAUUUGUUUAUUUCCGAAGAAACUUCCAAACAUCGAUCAUACAUUGAUAGAUACAGAUACUGUUAAGAUUUCGUUGUCAUUUGGUUUUUUAGGGUUCAUUACUGCAUGUUUUGGUAAAAGCCUCUUUUAGUUUAUAUAAUGGUUUAACCAAUUCUUUCGGGUACCAAGCAAUUUCUUUUGGUCCUUCAAGUUUUGUAGUCAAAUUUUGGUUCCUCACACCUCCUACUUUUUUUUUUUUAAUAUUGAUAUUCGGGAUUGUAGGUAUUACAAUUAAUAUUUACAAACAGAUUCUACAAUUGGAACCUUCUUCGUGGUAUGUACUCCUCUGAAGAGCUAUUCAAAUUCUUCAAACCCUCUCAAAUAUUCGAGGGCUGUCCACUCCACUCACGAAAUCUCUCUCAAAUAUUCGAGGGCUGUUCACUCCACUCAUAUUUCGUGAUGGAUAGACUGACUCCACUCAAUUAUCUGAUAAUUAAGGAAAAAUUAUAAAUAAUUCCUAUAAAUAUUUUUAUAGAAGUUCGAACUCUUACACUCAACAUUAUAAUUACAAAAACUCUCCCGGUGGACCAAAGACUCAUUGGUCCCACACCUGCUACUUGACAAUUAUUUGCUUCCUCGACAAAAUAUUAUACCACCAGCAAUCCAAAUUCUAGUCUGAAGUCUCUGUCUCUACAGGGAAACAUUUUUUAAUUGUCAGUGUACGGGAAAAAGUUGUUGAAAUUACUUUUUAGCUUGGGCCAUCAAAGGUAGAUCCAAUGUUUUUAUAGCCCAUGUUUCAAUCCAAUUUUAUUUAUUUAUUUAUUUAUUUUCUCGAGGAAGUGAUUUUAGUCAUGUCUGUUAGGCAUGCGCAAUAUGCAUGAAGUACUACGGAUUUAAGUUAUUUAUAUGUAAUCAAUAUCGUACUACAAUAUUUUACCACUAAAGAAUUACAAAAUGUAAUAAUUUACUACUUUUUCAUUAGUUGACUUAUAAAAUAUUAAUUUUAUCCUUACUUUGAGGGGAAAAAAACAUAUAAAUUCUAAUAAAGCUCAACAAUUUUCAUAUUGUAUCAAAAACCCAAAAAA
rnacentral:lncRNA from 1 species